UAGAUGUCCGUAAGCAUCACUCGAUCAUCAUCGUCAUUGUUCAUCAAACAAGAAAAAGAAAAGCAUCACCGUAUAUCAUGGCGGCCAAGAUGUUCCUUAGCUACUUCCUAUUUGUCUUGGUUACCUUGCCAGCCUCUUCAUCCAGCAGAAUAAUACUCGAGGGUGAUCAGGAAGUAGUAGAUACACAAACAUGCGGCCCAAAAGUUAGGUGCCUAAUUGUCUGCCCAGGACCCCUAAAAGUGUGCCCAAAAUGCUGUCCUGAAGCUUAAUCGAUAGGAUAUCGGUUCAGUCGUGCCGUUUACCAAUUAUGUGUGUAUGUAUAUAUAUUUUCGUAAUGAAUAUGCCGAUCAAGAAGCAUCAUCAAGAAAGAGGACUUUUACAUGAGGAGGAUCAAGAAAUUACAUGCCCCAAAAAAGUUAUCUGUGAAGUUUUUAGUGCGCUCAUCCACCGGAUGAGUGCCCAGAAAUUAAAUGUAGUAGUGGUCAAUACAAGCCGUGCUGUGGCUGCCCAAUAUGUUGUCGUGCACCUUAAAUUACCUAUUGGAUUUUGGUAGAACAUCAUAAUAUCAUAUGUUUAAUUCUUAUGUAAUGUGUAAUGUAAACUAUUUUAUUACAUGAAUAAUAUUGUGAAUUUGUGUCUUAUCUUCA